GCCCCCAUCGUCUAGUGGCCUAGGAUAUCGCCCUCUCACGGCGAAGACCGGGGUUCGAGUCCCCGUGGGGGUA
rnacentral:tRNA from 4 species